UACGUAGGGAGCGAGCGUUGUCCGGAUUCAUUGGGCGUAAAGAGCUCGUAGGCGGCUUGGUAAGUCGGAUGUGAAACCUCCAGGCUCAACCUGGAGUCGCCAUCCGAUACUGCCAUGGCUAGAGUCCGGUAGGGGCCCACGGAAUUCCUGGUGUAGCGGUGAAAUGCGCAGAUAUCGGGAAGAACACCCGUGGCGAAGGCGGCACUCUGGGACGGUACUGACGCUGAGGAGCGAAAGCGUGGGGAGCGAACAGG
rnacentral:rRNA from 1 species